UGCAAAUAUUUUCUCCCCUUUACUAGGUUGCCUUUUCGUUUUGUUGAUGAUUUCCUUUGCAAGGAUGAAGCUUUUUAGUCCGCUGUAUUUCCACCUUGCUUAUUUUUUACUUUUGUUGUGUUUGGUUUUGGAAUCAGAUCCAAGAAGUUAUCACCAAGGUUGAUGUAGUGGUGACUGUGUUUCCAAAGAUGACCACAUCAAUAUCUCCCCUCCCAAAAGCUCUUUUGCAAUGUGACCUAGACAAUUACCCUUCAACGGAUGGAGUCUACUUCCUCUCCCUUUGCAUGGGGGUUAGCCCUCUGACCUGUUCUGACCAAUAGAACCGGAUGGAAGCACUAACAUGUAGCUUCUGGGGUGCAAGCCUUAACAGACCUGCAGCUUCUAUCGCUUUUGGUUGGAACGUCUCUUCUUGGAAGUCAGUUCCAUGUCCAGUCACCUUGCCAGAGAUCAAGGCCAUCGUGGAGAGAGGCCAAUGGCUAUUUUGAUCGUUCCAGCUCAAGCCAAACUCCCAUCAGAACAGCCCAGCCUAAGCCCCAGCCAAACAAAAGAACCACGAGAAAUGGUAAAUUAUUUCAAGCCACCAAACUCUGAAGUGGUUAUGUAGAAAGAACCAAAACAUAGUGUGUGGAGGUUAACUCAGUCGUUCUUGGUAAAAUGAUCUCUCGUCAUUCCUUUAAAUCUUUCAUGAAGACUGUAACAAGAUAUUCCACAACACGUGCUGUUCUUAAAUGUGAUGCGGACACUCCUCCCAUUGAGGGCUGGAGUCUAUAUUCAAGUCUUCUCUUGAAUUUGGGGGUGCCUAUCGCUAAGGUGGAAGUGAUACUAAGUUUUAAAAAAAGAUGAUCUCUUCUGCUUGGUUCUCUCGGGAGCCUCUCUCUUGGCAUCCAGCCACCCUGAUGUGUGGAAGCUGGGAGACCCUAUUGGGGGGGCAGCCUGUAGGUGUUCCUGCUGAGAUCCUAGCCCACAGCCAGCACAAUGGAGGAGUGACUCCGGAUGAUUCCAGCACCGACCUGGCAAGUCACCUCUAAGCCUCCGUCUUCCCAGAUGGAGUCCCAGAGAUUUUGGACCAGACAAAUGCUGUUUCUACUCCUUUCAAACUCUUGACCCUGUAGUGGUUUGUUACACAGCAGGAGAUCAUUAGAACACUCCCUAAUGCCACUCAAGGUGGCACCUAGGUGAGUGUGGAACUACCAUGGUAGCAGAUUAAAGGAGGCAACCUCAGGUCCCAGUGACUGGCCUCUGGGACCUUACUGCCCUCAGCUGUGUUGGCCUUGGGCACAAGGGCGGCGGAUUUGGAUGACCCCACCCGCGACACCCCGGCUCUGCUCCGAUUCCCUUCCGCGGCGUGUUACCGGCACUGCCGGGAAACGACACCAGCCCUUCCCCACCCUCUGGUAGUGACUCAGCCUCGCAGGCGGGAAGCCUCCCGACCGACGGGGCGGACACACGAGCCGGGGCGGGGGCGUCCGCGGGCGGAAGGCGGGGCUGGACGUGACCACGGACCCGGAAGCCGGGACUUUCGCGGAAGACAGGCGGGCGAAGCCGGACGUGACACGAGGACUGGGGGAGCGAUGACGUCCGCAGCGGGAGGCGGGGCCGGACAUGACCGGGGGCGGGGGAACGGGGACGUCCGCCGGCGGAAGGCGGGGCCGGACGUGACCGGAGGCUAGGGAGGUGGGACAUCCGCGGGCAGAAGGCGGGGCCGGGCGUGACAGGGGGCGGGGCGUGCGGGCGGCGACCUCGGUGGGCGCGGUCGUUGGGCGUCCUCGGGCUCCCGGGGAACGCUGGCUCACCUUUUCUCGGGCCUCAAGCGUCUCAUCUGGGAUUUGGAUUCCCCGGGAUGUUUGAUGAGGCUGGCGAGGUUGGCCGAUGUGCAGGGUCGAUGUCCCGGAGAAGACACUUCCGUGUCCCUGGGCACGUGCGUGUGGCUGGCGCACUGCGGGCACCCGCCCUGAGCCUGGGGGAGAGGGGUCAGGGAUUAGGCGCAACUCGGACGCCCCCAGAAGUAGGAAGGCGAAAUCACCACGUGACGAAUAAAUUUUGGGGAAAUAAGCGUUAA